UACGUAGGUGACCAGCGUUGUCCGGAUUUACUGGGCGUAAAGAGCGCGCAGGCGGUCGUUCAAGUCGAGUGUGAAAGCCCCCGGCUCAACUGGGGAGGGUCACUCGAUACUGAUCGACUUGAAGGCAGGAGAGGGAAGCGGAAUUCCCGGUGUAGUGGUGAAAUGCGUAGAUAUCGGGAGGAACACCGGUGGCGAAGGCGGGUCUCUGGGCCGAUACUGACGCUGAGGAGCGAAAGCGUGGGGAGCGAACAGG
rnacentral:rRNA from 1 species